GACGAACGCUGGCGGCGUGCCUAAUACAUGCAAGUUGAGCGAUGAAGCUUGGUGCUUGCACCAAUUUGAAGAGCAGCGAACGGGUGAGUAACGCGUGGGGAAUCUGCCUUUGAGCGGGGGACAACAUUUGGAAACGAAUGCUAAUACCGCAUAACAACUUUAAACAUAAGUUUUAAGUUUGAAAGAUGCAAUUGCAUCACUCAAAGAUGAUCCCGCGUUGUAUUAGCUAGUUGGUGAGGUAAAGGCUCACCAAGGCGAUGAUACAUAGCCGACCUGAGAGGGUGAUCGGCCACAUUGGGACUGAGACACGGCCCAAACUCCUACGGGAGGCAGCAGUAGGGAAUCUUCGGCAAUGGACGAAAGUCUGACCGAGCAACGCCGCGUGAGUGAAGAAGGUUUUCGGAUCGUAAAACUCUGUUGGUAGAGAAGAACGUUGGUGAGAGUGGAAAGCUCAUCAAGGGACGGUAACUACCCAGAAAGGGACGGCUAACUACGG
rnacentral:rRNA from 1 species